AGUGAACGCUGGCGGUAGGCCUAACACAUGCAAGUCGAACGGCAGCACAGGAGAGCUUGCUCUCUGGGUGGCGAGUGGCGGACGGGUGAGGAAUACAUCGGAAUCUGCCCAGUCGUGGGGGAUAACGUAGGGAAACUUACGCUAAUACCGUAUACGACCUUCGGGUGAAAGAGGGGGAUCGCAAGACCUCUCGCGAUUGGAUGAGCCGAUGUCGGAUUAGCUAGUUGGCGGGGUAAUGGCCCACCAAGGCGACGAUCCGUAGCUGGUCUGAGAGGAUGAUCAGCCACACUGGAACUGAGACACGGUCCAGACUCCUACGGGAGGCAGCAGUGGGGAAUAUUGGACAAUGGGCGCAAGCCUGAUCCAGCCAUACCGCGUGGGUGAAGAAGGCCUUCGGGUUGUAAAGCCCUUUUGUUGGGAAAGAAAUCUUUCAGGCUAAUACCCUGGGAGGAUGACGGUACCCAAAGAAUAAGCACCGGCUAACUUCGUG
rnacentral:rRNA from 1 species